rnacentral:rRNA from 1 species
UACGUAUGGAGCAAGCGUUAUCCGGAUUUACUGGGUGUAAAGGGAGCGUAGGCGGUCCUUUAAGUCUGAUGUGAAAACCCGCGGCUCAACUGCGGGAUUGCAUUGGAAACUGGGGGACUAGAGUGUCGGAGAGGUAAGUGGAAUUCCUAGUGUAGCGGUGAAAUGCAUAGAUAUUAGGAGGAACACCAGUGGCGAAGGCGGCUUACUGGACGACUACUGACGCUGAGACUCGAAAGCGUGGGGAG